rnacentral:rRNA from 1 species
UACGGGGGGGGCAAGCGUUGUUCGGAAUUACUGGGCGUAAAGGGCUCGUAGGCGGCCAACUAAGUCGGACGUGAAAUCCCCAGGCUCAACCUGGGAACUGCGUCCGAUACUGGAUGGCUUGAAUCCGGGAGAGGGAUGCAGAAUUCCAGGUGUAGCGGUGAAAUGCGUAGAUAUCUGGAGGAAUACCGGUGGCGAAGGCGGCAUCCUGGACCGGCAUUGACGCUGAGGAGCGAAAGCCAGGGGAGCAAACGGGG